rnacentral:rRNA from 1 species
UACAGAGGUGGCAAGCGUUGUUCGGAAUUACUGGGCGUAAAGGGCGCGUAGGCGGCGCAACAAGUCACUUGUGAAAUCUCCGGGCUUAACCCGGAGCGGCCAAGUGAUACUGUCGUGCUAGAGUGCGGAAGGGGCUACUGGAAUUCUCGGUGUAGCGGUGAAAUGCGUAGAUAUCGAGAGGAACACCUGCGGCGAAGGCGGCCAUCUGGACCGCAACUGACGCUGAGGCGCGAAAGCGUGGGGAGCAAACAGG